rnacentral:rRNA from 1 species
GGGCCCGCACAAGCGGUGGAGCAUGUGGUUUAAUUCGAUGAUACGCGAGGAACCUUACCAGGGCUUAAAUGUAAGUUGCAUAAGUUAGAGAUAGCUUUUUCUUCGGACUACUUACAAGGUGCUGCAUGGUUGUCGUCAGCUCGUGCCGUGAGGUGUCAGGUUAAGUCCUAUAACGAGCGCAACCCCUGUUGUUAGUUGCCAUCGAGUAAUGUCGGGAACUCUAACAAGACUGCCGGUGCAAACCGUGAGGAAGGUGGGGAUGACGUCAAAUCAUCACGGCCCUUACGUCCUGGCUACACACGUGCUACAAUGGCCGGUACAGAGAGCAGCCACUACGCGAGUAGGAG